UAGGGAAUCUUCGGCAAUGGGGGCAACCCUGACCGAGCAACGCCGCGUGAGUGAAGAAGGUUUUCGGAUCGUAAAGCUCUGUUGUAAGUCAAGAACGGGUGUGAGAGUGGAAAGUUCACACUGUGACGGUAGCUUACCAGAAGGGGACGGCUAACUACGUGCCAGCAGCCGCGGUAAUACGUAGGUCCCGAGCGUUGUCCGGAUUUAUUGGGCGUAAAGCGAGCGCAGGCGGUUUGAUAAGUCUGAAGUUAAAGGCUGUGGCUCAACCAUAGUUCGCUUUGGAAACUGUCAAACUUGAGUGCAGAAGGGGAGAGUGGAAUUCCAUGUGUAGCGGUGAAAUGCGUAGAUAUAUGGAGGAACACCGGUGGCGAAAGCGGCUCUCUGGUCUGUAACUGACGCUGAGGCUCGAAAGCGUGGGGAGCGAACAGGAUUAGAUACCCUGGUAGUCCACGCCGUAAACGAUGAGUGCUAGGUGUUGG
rnacentral:rRNA from 1 species